UACUUAGAAUAAAAUACUAAUUCCUUCAACAAACCAAAACCCUUACCCAAUACUGAAUGAUCCUAUAAUUUAUAUAGAAAACUAUAUGCUAGAACUAGUAAUAAGAAGAAGACCUUCUCCAAAAUAUAAAUGUGAGCCGAAAUGAACAAUUCACCGGCACUUAACGCAAUUGAGCUAACAGUAGCAACCCUACAAGAAAAUCCUACUCAAACACGCGUCAACCUUACACUAGUGUAUUUCUGGAAAGAUUAAAAGAAAAGGAAGGAACUCGGCAAACCACUAACCCCGCCUGUUUACCAAAAACAUCGCCUCUUGAAAAAAUAUAAGAGGUCCAGCCUGCCCAGUGACAAAGUUAAACGGCCGCGRUACCCUAACCGUGCGAAGGUAGCGCAAUCACUUGUUCUUUAAAUGAGGACUAGUAUGAAUGGCAUCACGAGGGUUAUACUGUCCCCCUUUUCUAAUCAAUGAAACUGACCUCCCCGUGAAGGGGCGGGAUAACACUAUAAGACGAGAAGACCCCAUGGAGCUUAAAACUCAGUACCAAUUACCUUAAACUAUACUUCAUCUUAACCCGGUAAUUAUGGCCUCUGGUUUUCGGUUGGGGUGACCGCGGAGUAAAACAAAACCUCCACGCUGAAUGGACCAACACUCCUAAUCAUAGAGCUACAGCUCAAAGAAUCAAAAAAUUGACACAAAUUGAUCCAAUUAAUUUUGAUCAACGAACCAAGUUACCCUGGGGAUAACAGCGCAAUCCACUUCAAGAGCUCCUAUCGACAAGUGGGUUUACGACCUCGAUGUUGGAUCAGGGUAUCCCAGUGGUGCAGCCGCUACUAAAGGUUCGUUUGUUCAACGAUUAAAACCCUACGUGAUCUGAGUUCAGACCGGAGAAAUCCAGGUCGGUUUCUAUCUAUAAAGAGUCUCUCCUAGUACGAAAGGACCGAAGCAACAUGGCCAAUAUUAUAAACAAGCCAUAUCUGAACAUUAAUGACUACAACUCAAUUAACACCAGCCUACUAUUAAUCCCAAGAUAAGAAAU
rnacentral:rRNA from 1 species